rnacentral:rRNA from 1 species
GGUCAAGAGGUUAAGACACCGCCCUUUCACGGCGGUAACAGGGGUUCAAUUCCCCUACGAGUCACCAAUUCAAUUAAAUAUGCGGGUGUAGCUCAAUGGUAGAGUUCUGGCCUUCCAAGCCAGCUGUGAGGGUUCGAUCCCCUUCACCCGCUCCAAAAAUGGGACCAUAGCUCAGCUGGGAGAGCACCUGCCUUACAAGCAGGGGGUCACAGGUUCGAGCCCUGUUGGUCCCACCAUUUGCGGCCUGGUAGUUCAGUUGGUUAGAAUGCCAGCCUGUCACGCUGGAGGUCGAGGGUUCGAACCCCUUCCAGGUCGCCAAAAUAAAAUGCUGGUGUGGCUCAACGGUAGAGCAGCUGACUUGUAAUCAGCAGGUUGUAGGUUCGAUUCCUAUCACCAGCUCCAUGUAAAAUUAAUACGGAGGAUUUCCCGAGCGGCCAAAGGGGGCAGACUGUAAAUCUGUUGUCAUCGACUUCGGUGGUUCGAAUCCACCAUCCUCCACCAAAAAAAUGCGCGGAUGUGGCGGAAUUGGCAGACGCACUAGACUUAGGAUCUAGCGCCAUUGGCGUGGGGGUUCGACUCCCUUCAUCCGCACCAUUUUUGUUUGAUAUACAUAUAUAUAUUGUGGGUGCAUAGCUCAGCUGGAUAGAGCAACGCCCUUCUAAGGCGUGUGUCCGGGGUUCGAAUCCCUGUGCGCUCACCACAUAUAUUGGGGAUUAGCCAAGUCGGUAAGGCACAUGACUUUGACUCAUGUAUGCGUAGGUUCGAGUCCUGCAUCCCCAGCCAAAUGAUGUAUUACUAAGCUAUAUUUGAAUUAUUUUUAUUUUAAAUAUAGUUAGGUUCAAUUUUAGAAUAAGUUUAAGUAUCCGAAUGUGGAGAGGUGUCCGAGUGGUUUAAGGAGCUGGUCUUGAAAACCAGUGACUUCGAAAGGGGCCGUGGGUUCGAAUCCCACCCUCUCCGCCAAAUGCCCAGAUAGCUCAGUCGGUAGAGCAGGGGACUGAAAAUCCCCGUGUCGGUGGUUCGAUUCCGCCUCUGGGCACCAAAAUAUGGCGGUAUAGCUUAGUUGGCUAGAGCGUUCGGUUCAUACCCGAAAGGUCAUAGGUUCGACUCCUAUUACCGCUACUAAAAUUUAAUGUGGGCCAUUAGCUCAGUUGGUUAGAGCGCCCGGCUCAUAACCGGUAGGUCUGGGGUUCGAGUCCCUGAUGGCCCACCACAUUAAAUUAAUUAAUAUAAAUUCGAGGUGUAGCGCAGUUUGGUAGCGCACAUGGUUUGGGACCAUGGGGCCGGGGGUUCGAGUCCCUUCACCUCGACCAAUAUAAGGUGGGUAUAGCUCAGUUGGUUAGAGCGCCAGAUUGUGGCUCUGGAGGUCGUGAGUUCGACUCUCAUUAUCCACCCCAAUUCAUAUGGUCUAUUAGCUCAGUCGGUAGAGCACCUGACUUUUAAUCAGGGUGUCCCGCGUUCGAGUCGCGGAUAGAUCACCAAAAAGGUGGCGACAUAGCCAAGUGGUAAGGCAGUGGACUGCAACUCCUUGAUCCCCAGUUCGAAUCUGGGUGUCGCCUCCAAUAAAAUGCGCUCAUAGCUCAACUGGAUAGAGUGUCUGACUACGAAUCAGAAGGUUAGGGGUUCGAGUCCCUUUGGGCGCACCAUAUGAAUAGCGAGGGAUUAUAGCUCAGCUGGGAGAGCACCUGCCUUACAAGCAGGGGGUCACAGGUUCGAGCCCUGUUAAUCCCACCAGUGCAAACCUCUAGNNNNNNNNNNNNNNNNNNNNNNNNNNNNNNNNNNNNNNNNNNNNNNNNNNNNNCGCUGAUGGUACUUGGUGGGAAACUGCCUGGGAGAGUAGGACGUAGCCACGUUAAAUGUUCCAAGGUAGCUCAACGGUGGAGCAACCGGCUGUUAACCGGUAGGCUGUGGGUUCGAGCCCCACCCUUGGAGCCAAAAAAGCCGAAGUGGCGGAACUGGCAGACGCACAGGACUUAAAAUCCUGCGGGACUUACCUCUCGUACNUUGGUACUACAUGUACAGGAUAGGUGGGAGGCUUUGAAACCAGGACGCCAGUUUUGGCGGAGCCAUCCUUGGGAUACCACCCUUGUAGUACUGGGACUCUAACCAUAGGCCAUGAAUCUGGUCUUGGGACACUGUCAGGUGGGCAGUUUGACUGGGGCGGUCGCCUCCCAAAAGGUAACGGAGGCGCUCAAAGGUUCUCUCAGUACGGUCGGAAAUCGUACGUAGAGUGUAAAGGCAAAAGAGAGCUUGAUUGCAAGACAUACAGGUCGAGCAAGGAUGAAAAUCGGACUUAGUGAUCCGGUGGUUCUGCGUGGAAGGGCCAUCGCUCAACGGAUAAAAGCUACCCUGGGGAUAACAGGCUUAUCUCCCCCAAGAGUCCACAUCGACGGGGAGGUUUGGCACCUCGAUGUCGGCUCAUCACAUCCUGGGGCUGUAGUAGGUCCCAAGGGUUGGGCUGUUCGCCCAUUAAAGUGGUACGCGAGCUGGGUUCAGAACGUCGUGAGACAGUUCGGUCCCUAUCCGUCGCAGGCGUAGGAAAUUUGAGAAGACCUGUCCUUAGUACGAGAGGACCGGGAUGGACGUACCUCUGGUGUACCAGUUGUCCUGCCAAGGGCAUGGCUGGGUAGCUAUGUACGGAAUGGAUAAGCGCUGAAAGCAUCUAAGCGCGAAGCCAACUUCAAGAUAAGAUUUCCCACCGCAAGGGUAAGACCCCAGAAAGACUAUCUGGUUGAUAGGUCGAAGGUGUAAGUGCAGCAAUGUAUUUAGCUUAUCGAUACUAAUAGGUCGAGGACUUGACC